GGUUUAUUGGAGCCUUGGGAAAUCCAUAGUGAAGAAAAAGGAAAAAGUUCGACUUCAAAAAAAAAGUGAUCUCUGCUUUUUUUUUUUUUUUUAUCCCCACUCCUAUAAUUGAGUUGCGUGAAUAAUUUUUAAAAGUACACAGAAAACACUACACAUCACUUAUUUCCUUUUCAUAUUUGGCUUAGAAUAAAAAUGUAUAUCGCUA
rnacentral:lncRNA from 1 species